GCUGGGCGUGGUGGCGCACACCUGUAGUCCCAGCUACUGGGGAGGCUGAGGCAGAAGAAUCGCUCGAACCUGGGAGGCAGAGGUUGCAGUGAGCGGAGAUCGCGCCACUGCAUUCCAGCCUGGGUGACAGAGCAAGACUCUGUCUCAA
rnacentral:SRP_RNA from 1 species